CCUACGGGAGGCAGCAGUGAGGAAUAUUGGUCAAUGGGCUUACGCCUGAACCAGCCAAGUCGCGUGCGGGAAGACUGCCCUAUGGGUUGUAAACCUCUUUUGUCAGGGAGCAACGCCGGCUACGUGUCGCCGGACUGAGAGUACCUGAAGAAAAAGCAUCGGCUAACUACGUGCCAGCAGCCGCGGUAAUACGGAGGAUGCGAGCGUUAUCCGUAUUUAUGGGGUUAAAGGGGUGCGUAGGCGGAAUGCCAAGUCAGCGGUAAAAUCGCGGGGCUCAACCUCGCUCCGCCGUUGAACCUGGCGUUCUUGAGUGGGCGAGAAGUAUGCGGAAUGCGUGGUGUAGCGGUGAAAUGCAUAGAUAUCACGCAGAACUCCGAUUGCGAAGGCAGCAUACCGGCGCCCAACUGACGCUGAAGCACGAAAGCGUGGGUAUCGAACAGGAUUAGAUACCCGUGUAGUC
rnacentral:rRNA from 1 species